rnacentral:misc_RNA from 1 species
GUCUGGAAGCUUCAUCUCAUUAGGUCAGCGAUUUAAAUUGCAGGUUACUAAGUUGCAGAUGGAUUGCCAUCCAGAAAGUCCAAAUUUGUUUCAGUCUCCAUGCAAAUUCAAAGCGUUACCCAAACUUUUGCGUGAUUAUCAUCAACACCCAUUUUCAGGCAUAUAAGAUCACAGUGAAGUAUCCCCUUUUGAAUAACGGGCUUUUAGCUUGCACAAAAACUGUAAUGUCUCUUUAUAGGAAGGAUCAUUGCGGUUGAUUGGCUUGCAAGAAUUUAUAUGAUCUGUUGAUUCUAGCACAACAAGUUCGCCAAAUCCAGGGUAUGCUGAUUCAAUUGAUACAAUUUCCAUCCUGAAGGCCCAUCCCCCAUACCCUUCAACUAUUGGAGUUACCUUGGUCUCACAGAAACUGAGGACUUCAACCAAUCUUUUCUUGUGAAGGUGGCGAAUGAAGUCGUUAAGCUCAACUAAUCGAGGGGACCCACUUCUUAGCUCCCCUAUAGUUGGAGCAGGGCGAAAUACAAGGCCCAUUCGCCAAGGCAUGUCAGCUAGUUUACUGCCAAAGUGUGGACAGCUGUAGAACACGAUUCCAACAGUGUUGUUCACAAGUUUAUUGAUUUUUUCUGCCUUGGCUUUAUGCAGCAUCUGCUUAACAACCAGGCCUCCCAUGCUGUGAGUCACAAACACAACAGGUCGAUUCCCAAUGCCUGCAGCAACAACCUUCUCCAACAGCUUGGAGCUGACUUCCUGAAGAGGCAGUGUAGCCCCAGACCAUUGUGUAAGAUUAGUCUUGUAUUUGAGGGUAAACAUUCGUAUUUGGGGCAAAUCAGCUGAGAGCCAUUCAGCAGGCCAAAAUGUCCCUAGCUUCCCAGCUUCCUCAUCAAUCUUCUCCACCAAGCCAGAUUUAGUUGAGGCUUUGUCCUCAGCUAAGCGCCAAGUCUUAUAAGGCCCACCACGUAAACCAUGUACAAAGACAACAUCUAGCAGAGGAGCCUCCGAUUCAGAUCCAUUAAGGGAAUCAUUGGUGGAAGUAGAACAUUCAGUAAUGUUUGAAGUUUUGGUGAUGGAUGAACUGUCACCAUCGAUUGAAUCAACCUCAGCCAACAUUAAUUUAUUACUUUCAAUUUUCUUACUUUCCACAUUUUCACAGAACUUCCAGUGGGGCAAUUCAGGAUUAAUCAAAAAUAUCAUGUCAUUAUACUGAGGACAACUGCUGUUUCUGUUUGCACUUCCACUCUCAGGGAGAUUACUAUUUACAAAGUUUGUACCAGCUUCGUGACAACAAAAUACAUUUAAGAGCGUUGCCCUAGCAUAACUUUGUAUUUUACUAUCAUUGCAACCUGGGAUCUUCCCAUUAGCACAAUCCUCAAGCCAUUUACACCAAGUUUUAUCUGCUAGAACAGCCUUCUGGACCUGAGGAAGGUUUGACAGGACAGUCAACAGUCUAGCUGCAUGUCGUCGAAUGUGAGCUGUAGGUGGAACUCGAAGACUAGAAGGACCAUUAGUAGCCGCAUUAGGCGUCUCACCAGUGACAUUUGAAAUCCUCUCCUGCGCCUCAAGGGCUCUAGAUGCAUCAUAAGCUUCCAUUGCAGACAGUCUCUCAUAAUCAUCACAUAACAAAAAGCGCCUCAGUAAACACAAGACCCCAAGUUCCGCAAUUUUCCUUUGACAUAAAGAAUCCUCAGAACAAAGUUCAGUCAGUGCUUUGAUCC